GGGGGUACAGCUCAGUGGUAGAGCUUAUGCUUGGUGUGCAUGAGGUCCUGGGUUCAAUCCCCAGUGUCUCCG
rnacentral:tRNA from 1 species